AUGUUUGUAGUUCAUACGCCUGAUGAUUGGGUGUUCACUCUACUGGGUGUUCACCGCCCUCAAACACCUUGUUAUGACAUGGGCACAUUACCCAUCUGAUG
ensembl:snoRNA